GCUGACCCAGUGCCUCCAGGGACUUAUCAAUAGACCACUCAGAAGAGACACAGACAGGAGAGAGGAGGAGGGGUGGGGGGAGAGAGAGAGAAUCAAUAUCAAGAAUAGAAGGAGCUCCGAAGCCAUUUUUUUUUUAAAGAAGUAUCGGGACUUGGGAGAGGGUGACAAAGAAGGUUUUUCAAAGAGGCAGUGGAGGAGGUUCUAAUAAAUUUGGAAGGAAACAGUUCCCUGUCUUGGGAAAAGGAGAACUCCUGACUGAUUAGCAUUCACACCAGAUGCAGCUGCUCUUUGUUCCCUGCCCCAAUGAACAUCUGCACUAGGCCCAAGCCUCGGAGUGAUUUACCUGAAGAGUGACACCAUUUAUUUGGAAACCACUAUGAGGAAACUGAAGCCCAGAGAGGUGAAGUGAGGUGCCCAAAGCCACACAGCAAGUUAGAGGCACAACUAGUACCAUAGCUCAAGUCUCCUGACUCCCAGUCCAGUGCUCUUCCCAUUACUCCACGGGUCCUGUCUCUAAGCUUCCUGACAAAUGCUAGAACGGAAGAAACCCAAGACAGCUG